rnacentral:rRNA from 1 species
AACGUAGGUACCGAGCGUUAUCCGGAUUUACUGGGCGUAAAGCGCGUUCAGGCGGUUUGGCAAGUCGGGCGUGAAAUCUCUCGGCUCAACCGGGAGAGGUUGUCCGAUACUGCUGGACUUGAGGGCAGUAGAGGGUGGUGGAAUUCCGGGUGUAGUGGUGAAAUGCGUAGAUAUCCGGAGGAACACCAGUGGCGAAGGCGGCUUUCUGGACAGUUACCGACGCUGAGGCACGAAAGCUAGGGGAGCAAACAGG